rnacentral:snoRNA from 1 species
CAGCAGCACUGCUGAGCUAAAUCCCGGGACCAAGCACUGUUAUUUUUUAUGUUAUAGAGAUAGUUGAUGGUUAAUUAGCUGAAUACCUACAAAUAGUAGUGCUGCCCUUCUCCUUCAGAUAACA